AGACACUUUUCCUCCUAGGAAAAACGAGCAUCUUCAAAAAUCAAUACCAUCCAGAUCUCAGAAGUUCUAAGGCCACAGGAAAGGAAAACUUCAAAGACAAGAAAAACAAGGUGCAGGAACCUCAGCAGAUACCCUGGGGGAGCCGGACUGACAUCUGGGUCUUCAGGAACUGAUGUGAUCCAGGAGCCUCUGCUGGAAGGGAUGGCAGGGGGCAGGAUGACGUGCGAACGUUUAUUC
rnacentral:lncRNA from 1 species